rnacentral:lncRNA from 1 species
AUGAACCGAGAUGCGCGUCUCGAGGCAGCGCUUCCGAGGGUGCCCGGGAGGCGCGUGACAGCCGCGCACCGCGCGCUUCCCCGGGGGCCGCGGACUCCCCGUCCGCCCCGGGCGUGGGCGAGCGACCGCGACCCGCUGCCCCCCGGCGCCGCCCCCCAUAUCACCUCGGGGCUGCACCUGGAGCUCCCGCGAUGCCCGCCCCCCCCGGGGCGCCCGCCCACGCUGGCUCCUCCGGUUCUGGAGAGUUGUGGGCAGAACAAAAGCGAACCCGAUUGCUUCUCCGAAGGCGCGCGCAGCCCGGGAGGAGGCUGGGGGGGCCGGCCCGGGCCGGGGUGCGGGGUUAGACCCGAUCCGCGGCCCGCGGCCGCCCGCCCUCCCGGCAGAUGCAGGCUGCAGGUUGCAGCGCCGGGGACAGCGCCGGGGACAGCGGCGGGGCUCGCUCCUUCCCUCCCUCCCCGCCCUCUCGGGCGCCCCGAGCCCCCGCCCUGGGGUCGCAGGGGCGGAGAUGGGCACCUGGAUCGGUGGGGCGGGAGGGCGGGGGGGGGGCGACAUACUAACCCUCGAAGGCAGCGCGAAGGAGGCCGGAGGGGAAGAUGCUGCGGACUGGGGCGGACCCCACCGCCGAGCUCCGAAUUUGAACUCGCCUGCGAACCACCCCUGGGCGCCCCCAAACGUGCCACACCGCCCGCGGGGGUGGGGUCCCCUCAACGGCGCCCGGUCCCUAAAUCCUCCGCCCUCUGCACCCCUCGGGGAUGCCCAACCGCAACCUUCCCGUCGGGACCGCAGAUCCAGGGGCGGCCCGGGCGCGGGGGCGGGGGACCGGGUCCCGGAGGCGGCCACGCCGGCCCCGCGGGAGGCACCGGCGCGCAAACUCGCGGUUCGGAAUCCGCUUGCUUCCCGGGUCGGGGUUUUCCCCCAGGUGAGGCGGGGGCGCGGGGACAGCGGGGAAGGAGCGUUUCUGCUUUUCGCUCGGCUUCUCCGGGGCCCCCGAACUCCGAGAGGCGCAGGCACCGGGAGAAGAAAGGAAGCGGAGGGGGAGCCACUUACCCAGAGCGGAGCCCGAGAGCGCGGCGGCCCCGGCGCAGGCGGCGCCUUUGUCUGAGGUCGCGGCGCCGGCGCGCUCGGCCAGGCAGGUCCCGGCCCCGGCGCGCGGCGAGCUCCCGCGGGCGUCCGGACUGCGCGGCUCGCGGCUCCCGCCCCCCGCCCCGGCUCCGGCUCCGGCUCCGGCUCCGGCUCCGCUCCCGCCCCCGCCCCCGCCCCGCGCUCGCCGCAGCCGCCGCCGCCGCCGCCGCCGCCGGCUCCGCCCCGCGCCGGCCCCGCCCCCGGGCCCCCACCUGCUGCGGCCGCCGGGGAGCCGAGCGUGGGGAGCCGCGCGUGGGGAGCCCUGCGUGGGGGGCCUGCCGCCUCCCCGCGCACCCCGCCCCCGCCUCCCCGCCGCCCGCGACCCCUACAGAGACGGCCUCACCCGAGGGCCCGGCGCCCGCAAGCAGGGGAGCCGCCGUGGGGGGCGGGGGGCGGGGGGCGGCCUCCCUGCCCCGGGCGCGCGUCGUCGGGGCCCCGUCACCUUGGAAGGCGGCCCCCACUUUGCCCGGGAGAGGGGAGCCGUCGGGCUCCGGCCAGGAGGGAGGGGGCUGCGGGAAGCAGGGUCUCCCUAACCCCGGCUGA